AUUGAACGCUGGCGGCAGGCCUAACACAUGCAAGUCGAGCGGAUUAAGGGAGCUUGCUCCUGGAUUCAGCGGCGGACGGGUGAGUAAUGCCUAGGAAUCUGCCUGGUAGUGGGGGAUAACGUCCGGAAACGGGCGCUAAUACCGCAUACGUCCUGAGGGAGAAAGUGGGGGAUCUUCGGACCUCACGCUAUCAGAUGAGCCUAGGUCGGAUUAGCUAGUUGGUGGGGUAAAGGCCUACCAAGGCGACGAUCCGUAACUGGUCUGAGAGGAUGAUCAGUCACACUGGAACUGAGACACGGUCCAGACUCCUACGGGAGGCAGCAGUGGGGAAUAUUGGACAAUGGGCGAAAGCCUGAUCCAGCCAUGCCGCGUGUGUGAAGAAGGUCUUCGGAUUGUAAAGCACUUUAAGUUGGGAGGAAGGGCAGUAAGUUAAUACCUUGCUGUUUUGACGUUACUAACAGAAUAAGCACCGGCUAACUUCGUG
rnacentral:rRNA from 1 species